GGGCCCGCACAAGCGGUGGAGCAUGUGGUUUAAUUCGAUGAUACGCGAGGAACCUUACCUAGGCUUAAAUGUAGAUUGACGUAUUGGGAAACCAGUAUUUCUUCGGACAAUCUACAAGGUGCUGCAUGGUUGUCGUCAGCUCGUGCCGUGAGGUGUCGGGUUAAGUCCCAUAACGAGCGCAACCCCUAUCAUUAGUUGCUAACAUUUAGUUGAGGACUCUAAUGAAACUGCCCGCGUAAGCGGUGAGGAAGGUGGGGAUGACGUCAAAUCAUCACGGCCCUUACGUCUAGGGCUACACACGUGCUACAAUGGUAACUACAGAGGGAAGCUAUCUGGUGACAGUGAGCAAAUCCUUAAAAGUUAUCCCAGUUCGGAUUGAAGUCUGCAACUCGACUUCAUGAAGUUGGAAUCGCUAGUAAUCG
rnacentral:rRNA from 1 species